CUGUAGAUUAACUCCACGUGGACUCUCACGGAGCAGUCCUCCAGCACAGACACACAGCUCAGAGUCUAACAACAAGCUGAGAAUCAAACAGCAGGAAAACGGCUGGUUUCUAUUCCUCUGGAGGAUUAUUUUCUGGGAGAUUUUUCCUGCGUAUUUUCCUUUUUAGUUUAAGUUUAGUAGAAUAAUUUGGGUCCAGACUUCCUUCAGGACUCAGAACCCGAGCCCAAGUCCACACCAAGUUUAAGUUUAGUAGAAUAAUUCGGGUCCAGACUUCCUUCAGGACCGGAGACCGGCAGCUCGGGGUUGUUUUGGUGCAGCCGCCAGCUGCAGCAAUGGCUGAUGGGAAACGGCGAAGCGGCGCGGGGUCGCCUCCGGACGGGGGGUGGGGCUGGGUGAUCGUCGGCUGCUGCUUCAUGGUGACGGUCUGCACACGGGCAGUAACCAGGUGCAUCUCCAUCUUCUUCGUGGAGUUCCAGGCGUAUUUCGGAGCCGACUACUCAGCGACCGCGUGGAUCCACAGCCUGGUG